rfam:Amborella trichopoda AMTR_V1.0_contig_21931, whole genome shotgun sequence.
GAUUUUCAAUAUUCAUUUUCUGAAGCCACCAGAUCCCAUCAGAAAUCCGAAGUUAAGCGUGCUUAGGCAAGAGUAGCACUAUGAUAAGUUAAGCGUGCAUAGGCAAGAGUAGCACUAGGAUGGGUGACCUCCUGAGAAGUCCUUGUAUCUUAACCU